AGCCAGGUCCCACGCAAUAGGUCCUCACCCAACCCCGUCAGAUCCGGAAGGAAGCAGCGGUCAGUGCAUGAACUAUGUGCCGUGGUGUUACCUGGCUUUU
rnacentral:SRP_RNA from 1 species